UAUCUUUAAGACGCCCUCUGCUGUAAGCACGUCCCGCACGGUGGUCACCCUCGAGGCGAAGCCUCGAACAUAAUCAUCGAGACGGACCUCCCUUUCUGGAUCGGCGGGGUGAUACAACCCAGCCUCCAUCGUCCAGUUUCGGCUCAUCCUUCGUCUUCUCCCCUUUCUUCUUUUUUUCAUGCGCUUUCUCGACUAUCACGGGAACUUUUAUGGCCAGCGUGCGGAGCAUCAUAAAAUCUUUUUUUUUGUUCGUCCUCCGAGGCUUCAGAGUUGAUCUCGUCUUUCUUCUUUCCUUCAAGUGUCUUCUCGUUGUCUCCAUUAUAACCAUCAAGCCCAUCUUCCGUCUUAUUUCCCAAUUCCCCAUCAUCUAUCAUUCCCUUUUCGCUACCACUGUCACUUCGAUCUUCGAUUGCCAUCACUACUGGACAGCUCUAGCCUGGCAUCUACACGUUUGGCAGGUUCUCCCGGCCAACUGUUUUAGUCCUGCUUAUGUCUUUGUUCGUUUUCGCCUCCUUCAUAUUUCCAUAGUUUUGCGGCUCCAGAAAUUAGGAUCGUUCGUUACGUGAUAGUGUUCGACGAUUGUCUUCCAUCUGUUGAGUGCCUUCUUGUAACUAUCGGGAAUGCUUAGGUCUCUUCGCGACGAUCGAAGCCCUCCCAGCCAGUAGCUGUGACCUUUUCUUCAAAUGUGCACGUCUCUAUUUGAUCCGACGUUCCUUUUGCUCCUCUCGCUUCCGCCUCCGAAGCUUUUUUCCGGGGAUUCACAUACUCUAAACCCUUUUAGGAAUAAGAGCUUGGCAUGCAACGGAACUGACCGAAUACUUAUCGGUCGUGUCAUGUCAGGACUUUCUGCCUUCGGCUGCUAUCAACAAAAGCUCACGAGAGGGCUGCCUGGGAUGCGAAAGUUAUCUUUUGGUCUUAG
rnacentral:sRNA from 1 species